GACGAACGCUGGCGGCGUGCCUAACACAUGCAAGUUGAGCGACGAACCAGGGCUUGCCCUGGGGCAAAGCAGCGAACGGGUGAGUAACACGUGGGUAACCUACCCCGAUAACCGGGACAACCCGAGGAAACUCGGGCUAAUACCGGAUGUGCUCACUGGACUUCGGUUCAGUGCGUAAAGGAAGCUUCGGCCUCCGUAUCGGGAGGGGCCCGCGGCCCAUUAGUUUGUUGGUGAGGUAACGGCUCACCAAGACCGCGAUGGGUAGCUGGUCUGAGAGGACGAUCAGCCACACUGGGACUGAGACACGGCCCAGACUCCUACGGGAGGCAGCAGUGGGGAAUCUUGCGCAAUGCGCGAAAGCGUGACGCAGCAACGCCGCGUGGGGGAAGAAGGCCUUCGGGUUGUAAACCCCUUUCAGGAGGGACGAAGGUUCGGCGGUGAAUAGCCGUCCGGACUGACGGCACCUCCACAAGAAGCCCCGGCUAACUACGU
rnacentral:rRNA from 1 species